AACAGUUGGGAGUAUCUGUGUUAAGCUGGUUAAAAAAAAAGAUACAGAGUCAGUUGCAAAAUCAAUGCUCUUUUUCAACCCAGAACUCAUGAUUAGGUGUGACUUCUGAUGCACAUAAGAAGGACCACG
rnacentral:snoRNA from 1 species